GAUGAACGCUGGCGGCGUGCCUAAUACAUGCAAGUCGAGCGAACAGACGAGGAGCUUGCUCCUCUGACGUUAGCGGCGGACGGGUGAGUAACACGUGGAUAACCUACCUAUAAGACUGGGAUAACUUCGGGAAACCGGAGCUAAUACCGGAUAAUAUAUUGAACCGCAUGGUUCAAUAGUGAAAGACGGUUUUGCUGUCACUUAUCGAUGGAUCCGCGCCGCAUUAGCUAGUUGGUAAUGUAACGGCUUACCAAGGCAACGAUGCGUAGCCGACCUGAGAGGGUGAUCGGCCACACUGGAACUGCGACACGGUCCAGACUCCUACGGGAGGCAGCAGUAGGGAAUCUUCCGCAAUGGGCGAAAGCUUGACGGAGCAACGCCGCGUGAGUGAUGAAGGUCUUCGGAUCGUAAAACUCUGUUAUUAGGGAAGAACAAAUGUGUAAGUAACUAUGCACGUCUUGACGGUACCUAAUCAGAAAGCCACGGCUAACUACGUG
rnacentral:rRNA from 1 species